AGCCUCUUUUCGCAAGGAGUAGGGGCCUUAGUCAGGCCUGGGGGCCAAGAUCAGCCUUUGAGCAUCAUUGCCAGAAAGCCACAGAUGGGUAGCUUUGCUUCCUAACGCAGACAUUU
ensembl:scaRNA